GUGUCAUCUGUCUUGCGAUCGCCACUGUUUUAUAUUUAUUCAGUGAUCUUCACCCUUCCAGCAUCGUCAGAUGAAGAUCACUCACAGAGAUCAACUGCACGAUCGCGGAGUGCAAGAACUCAAAAGAUCCAGAAUGAAGCCAGAACACAAAAAAAAACUGCCAGGAAUCAACAGAAAGUUAGUAUGAGCAAUAAAAUGAUUUUGUGAUUAGGUGAAAUCGAAGGAUGGUUUCUUCACUGCAAUUACACCUCAAAACGCAACUUUUCCCUCUCGCGCCAUCAACGAAUAUGGGGAGUUUGUAAUUGUGCCAAUUAUAGUGAAACAGGAAUUAGUAAGUCACAUACCACUCAAUACAUCGCAUUAAAUACAGAAAAAAAGAAGAAGCAAAAAAAAAGCCACCAAAGUACGUGAUCAGAGAUGAGGAUCAUGAGACAAUAAAUAUGCGGAGGUAUUUAGUAAGCAAGGAAAGUUGCUGUUAGCUUUUUAAAGAGUGAAAAUACUGAUGGAAAAACACCAUCAUCUUCCAGGUUGAGAGAUCAACAAAAGAUUUCUUGUUAUUGAAGCACCAGAGCACCAGCAAGAAAAAAAAACUUGAUCUUCAGGCUUUUGCGCACCAUCACCAAUAAAAUGAUAAAUAUGAGACUUAUUAGUUAAGAAGACUCACCGAUUCGUGACUUCCUUGUGCCAUCACCAAUCACUGGAUGAUGAUCAUUUGUUGCUGGACAACAUUCAGUUGAUGAGGUUAGUCGUUUGAUUUUUGUCGUCUCAAUUCCCUCACUUUCAUUUGCAACUGAACUUCCUGCAUGAUCUCUAUUCCUCAAUGGUGACAAACUCAACAAACGUGGGGAUUCACUUGUGGAUUUCUUAAACCAUCUCAUUGUCUCUUAAGAUCAACAUAAAAAAAAGAAGAAGUACAAAUUCUCCCAGACACCUUCCCUGGAAGCAAAAGUGUACAAAAAAAAAACUCCGCGGUCACUUCACAUCAAGAAUUAUGCGAAUUAUGACUCACAUGAGCAUAACAUUUAAUUCAAUUUCUUUCUCUUUCGUGCGCAACAUUAAAAUGAUCAUCUC